rnacentral:rRNA from 1 species
GAACGCCGUAGCAAUACGGAGUGGCAGACGGGUGAGUAACGCGUGGGAACAUACCCCUCGGUUCGGGAUAACUCAGGGAAACUUGAGCUAAUACCGGAUACGUCCAGGGUUUUAAUCGACCUUGGAGAAAGAUUUAUCGCCGGGGGAUUGGCCCGCGUCUGAUUAGCUUGUUGGUGAGGUAAUGGCUCACCAAGGCGACGAUCAGUAGCUGGUCUGAGAGGAUGAUCAGCCACAUUGGGACUGAGACACGGCCCAAACUCCUACGGGAGGCAGCAGUGGGGAAUAUUGGACAAUGGGCGAAAGCCUGAUCCAGCCAUGCCGCGUGAGUGAUGAAGGCCUUAGGGUUGUAAAGCUCUUUUACCCGGGAAGAUAAUGACGGUACCGGGAGAAUAAGCCCCGGCUAACUUCGUGCCAGCAGCCGCGGUAAUACGAAGGGGGCUAGCGUUGUUCGGAAUUACUGGGCGUAAAGCGCACGUAGGCGGAUCCUUAAGUCAGGGGUGAAAUCCCGAGGCUCAACCUCGGAACUGCCUUUGAUACUGGGGAUAUCGAGUCCGGGAGAGGUGAGUGGAACUGCCAGUGUAGAGUUGAAAUUCGUAGAUAUUCGCAAGAACACCAGUGGCGAAGGCGGCUCACUGGCCCGGUACUGACGCUGAGGUGCGAAAGCGUGGGGA